GAUAAACGCUGGCGGCGCACAUAAGACAUGCAAGUUGAACGGACUUAAUCGAAAUAUUUAUAUUUUGAAGCGGUUAGUGGCGGACUGGUGAGUAACGCGUAAGGAACCUGCCUAUUAGAGGGGAAUAACAGUGAGAAAUCAUUGCUAAUACCGCAUAUGCCAUAGAUAUCACAUGAUAACAGUGGGAAAGGAGCAAUCCGCUAAUAGAUGGCCUUGCGUCUGAUUAGAUAGUUGGUGGGGUAACGGCCUACCAAGUCGACGAUCAGUAGCCGGACUGAGAGGUUGAACGGACACAUUGGGACGGAGAUACGGCCCAGACUCCUACGGGAGGCAGCAGUCGGGAAUAUUGCGCAAUGGAGGAAACUCUGACGCAGUGACGCCGCGUAUAGGAAGAAGGUUGUCGGAUUGUAAAAUAUUGUCGUUAGGGAAGAGAAAGGACAGUACCUAAGGAGGAAGCUCCGGCUAACUACGUG
rnacentral:rRNA from 1 species